rnacentral:lncRNA from 1 species
GCCACCCCCAGCUCCUGGGGGACUGCGCCUGGCCUGGUCCGUAGAUCUUCUGAGCAUUCACGACUCUUACUCAGUGAAUGACCGAGGCCCCCAAAGCUUCACUUUAUUCUUUGAUGAUUCCGAAGGAUCCUCACGGCUACCAUGAACUCGGUGCUGUGUUCCAGCUGUGACGUAAUGCUGUCUACUUAUCUAACAAUGCUGUGAAAGAGAAAGUCCCAUGCCACUUCUCCAGGUGAGGAAGUGGAAGCCCCAGCUCUCACCCUGCCUGACCUCACACAGCUCCUGGCCGGGACCCGUGCGGCCGGACACCGUUCACUCCCACCCACUGCUAACCAGCUCGACGCUAACCAGGCUGCCGCUUGCUGGGUGGUUCUUGGGAGGGCGCCCACCUCCGGGGAAUUGUUCACACCAAGGUCAAAAUCUAUGA